GUGAGGUGAUGACGAAGUUUAUCCAUUCUCUGAGUGCAGUGGCGCUGCCCUCCUGCAGCACCCGGGUUCCUGUUCUAGGGUCUGGGUGYUGUGCGGCCUCCGGAGACCCCGCAGUCUGCCAGUGUCCUACUGGGGGUUGCUGGGGCCUGUGGCUGGCUGCCUGCAGGAGUGAGGUGUGCUGGCAGGGUUGGAGCCCCCCCUCCGUGGGGGCUCCAUCCCCACCGAGAUGAGGGAUGAUGUCUGAUCAC
rnacentral:snoRNA from 1 species